GUGAUUAAAGAUCCUGAUGGUUGAUGGGAAGAAGCUGUUCUUGAACCAGGAGAUCACAGUUCUUAGGCUUCUGUACUCUUUUCCUGAUGGUAGCAACACCAUGAGAGAAUAGUGAGGAUGCUCUGGAUC